CAUAGGUUGAAUAGAAAUGAAGUCCAUUGCUCUCUUCAAAGUUAAUUUUGUUGUUUGCUCAGUUUCUAUGCUCUUUGUUGGGCUCUGAUGUAUACAUGUGCCUCAUGCUGAUUGGGCUUGGUACAUCAUUUGUGCUCAGGUGCUCCAAGGUAGAAAUCAUAUGAGGGAACUCACAUUGUUUAGCCUGGAGAAAAGGAGGCUCAGGAAGACCUUAUUGCUCUUCAAUUACCUGAAGGGGAGUUGUAGCAAGGAAGGGUAAUAAAGCAUUGGAGUGGGCUCUCUAGGGAUGUGGUGUAGCUGCCAUACCUGGAGGUGUUCAAGAUAUGACUGGAUGUGGUACUUAAUGCCAUGGUCUAUUUGACAAGCUUUUUACUGCUAUGCUGAACCUUGGAAGUACCAUGAUAGUGUCACAACUGAUGGCAAAGAAAAGAGGAUACCUAUUUCAAGAUGCAUAAAGAUAACGUGCAUGAGAGAAUAUGAUUGUUACAACUUGAUGUUACUAAUGACAAAUAGUGUAAAUGACAUGUUAUUUCCCACAACAUUGCAUUUUCAAUAGGAAAGUUGUUUAAGUUGCUGCUAAAACUGGUAUCACACAGUCAUAAAAUGGUUUGAGUUGGAAGGAACUUACAGAUCAUCUAGUUUCAACCCUCUCACUGAUAUAAAAUUAUCAGAAUACAAAAGUUCAGAAAUGACAAUCCAUUGUAACAUUUCAAUCAAUAUGUUAAAUUCCUAUACAGAGAUAGCUGAAACAUUAAUAAAUUUCAUCAAAAUAAAUGAAUUGUUUAUAGUUUAUAGGAUUAUAUUUGUACAUAAGAAUUCUCUCAGUCCUGUUUCUGUCAAAGUUCUUUGCUUACUUUCUGCCAGGCAGAAAGUUUAUAUUACUUAAUAUAUUAUUACCCCUUGCUUCAGACCCCAUGCAAUGAUUAUUAAUUUUUCACAGCAGGCAGUUACAGUGCAUUCUCCCAAGAAUAGUUUGAUACAUAGAUGUUAAUAAAGUUCCCUGGCCCAAAGGAAUUUUCCAUUGCCCAUAUCACUACAAAACAAAAGCUUCUGGAUAACAGUAUUAAAAGUACAUAUGCAAAAUUGUAAAUUACAAAGCUAAAUAAUUAAUUCUUUUUUGCUGCACUCCUAGAAAUACAUAUCUUUUAUAUUCUAGAAUAGAGUAGAAGUAUAUGCUGACUUUGCUGGCUCUAAGUGACAGGUGGAUAAAGUAUCAUUUCUCAAUCUGAAACUAACACAGAAUUCCCUAUUGCUUUAAGGAAAGUAAUACAACAAAUACAAAAAUAAUCAACAGAAGGAGUUUCUCUCUUUCUGUGCUCUUUUAUUCAUAGAUAACAAUAA